GUCCCAGCCGUAAACGAUGGACGCUAGGUGUGGGGGAUCAUCCCCCGUGCCGCAGCCAACGCAUUAAGCGUCCCGCCUGGGGAGUACGGCCGCAAGGCUAAAACUCAAAGGAAUUGACGGGGCCCGCACAAGCAGCGGAGCAUGUGGCUUAAUUCGAAGCAACGCGAAGAACCUUACCAGGGCUUGACAUGCGAGUGAAGCCGCGGAGACGCGGUGGCCGAGAGGAGCUCGCGCAGGUGGUGCAUGGCUGUCGU
rnacentral:rRNA from 1 species